GAUGAACGCUGGCGGCGUGCCUAAUACAUGCAAGUCGAGCGAACAGACGAGGAGCUUGCUCCUCUGACGUUAGCGGCGGACGGGUGAGUAACACGUGGAUAACCUACCUAUAAGACUGGGAUAACUUCGGGAAACCGGAGCUAAUACCGGAUAAUAUAUUGAACCGCAUGGUUCAAUAGUGAAAGACGGUUUUGCUGUCACUUAUAGAUGGAUCCGCGCCGCAUUAGCUAGUUGGUAAGGUAACGGCUUACCAAGGCAACGAUGCGUAGCCGACCUGAGAGGGUGAUCGGCCACACUGGAACUGAGACACGGUCCAGACUCCUACGGGAGGCAGCAGUAGGGAAUCUUCCGCAAUGGGCGAAAGCCUGACGGAGCAACGCCGCGUGAGGGAUGAAGGUCUUCGGAUCGGAAAAAUCUGUUAUUAGGGAAGAACAAAUGUGUAAGUAACUAUGCACGUCUUGACGGUACCUAAUCAGAAAGCCACGGCUAACUACGUGC
rnacentral:rRNA from 1 species